AUCAUUAGACUGUGUAAAUAUGGCGCCUGU
rnacentral:piRNA from 1 species